GAUGAACGCUGGCGGCGUGCCUAAUACAUGCAAGUCGAGCGAACAGACGAGGAGCUUGCUCCUCUGACGUUAGCGGCUGACGGGUGAGUAACACGUGGAUAACCUACCUAUAAGACUGGGAUAACUUCGGGAAACCGGAGCUAAUACCGGAUAAUAUAUUGAACCGCAUGGUUCAAUAGUGAAAGACGGUUUUGCUGUCACUUAUAGAUGGAUCCGCGCCGCAUUAGCUAGUUGGUAAGGUAACGGCUUACCAAGGCAACGAUGCGUAGCCGACCUGAGAGGGUGAUCGGCCACACUGGAACUGAGACACGGUCCAGACUCCUACGGGAGGCAGCAGUAGGGAAUAUUCCGCAAUGGGCGAAAGCCUGACGGAGCAACGCCGCGUGAGUGAUGAAGGUCUUCGGAUCGUAAAACUCUGUUAUUAGGGAAGAACAAAUGUGGAAGUAACUAUGCACGUCUUGACGGUACCUAAUCAGAAAGCCACGGCUAACUACGUG
rnacentral:rRNA from 1 species